CUCUCAUCUAGUUCCGUGGUCUCCCGGGAGCCCCAGACAGUGACAAAAGGCCACUUUGUGUGGUCUAGGGAGUCCUUUCCAUGUUGAACCCAUGAGAGGCUUACCACGUUUGAACUAGUUCUGAUGGGGGUAGGACAGAGUCCACGCUUCCUCACCCCUGUCUACAAGCACGCGCCAUGCCUCCAGCCACAACCGCAGGACUCAUGGACUCCACUCAGAGUCAGACUGGUCUAAUGGCAAGAAGCAACGAACUAGGAAUGGGGAAGACGGUAAAGCAGGUUACACAGUUCCUGACAUGCAGAAAAUGAUCAAUAGAGGCUACAUCUAGUCCUUCCUCUUCGUGGUUAGCCUGGCGUAGAAAAGUGCUUCCGCAUCGACUCUGGGAAGUAGCAGCGC